UUGAGAAUGUCUUGAGUCUUAACCAGGAACAUACUCUGAGUUGAAUGAACUUACUCCCGGACCCGUUUUUGGAACCACAUACCUCGAGUAAGCAAGGUUAGGGGUUAGUCAACCAAAAGUUCAGGGUUUAUCUGACGGUAAGUUAACCAUGCUUUCUGGAAUACACCCCUGGUCUGAAGUGGUGUUACCCAUCGGAUUAAACACACACACACAAAACGCAUACACAUCACGAUAUAUAACACUAUAUUAAGCCUAUAUUAAUAUUAGUGUAAUCAUUUAGCCUAUUGUUCGCUUCACUCACUGUUUUUAACUUGUAAUAACACGUGCCUUUGACUAGCAAUUUAUCUAAAGUCUAGUUGACUAUGGGGCUGUUGAACUUCUAUAGCCUAUAAGCAGGGCCGUCCUUUGGGCGGUGCAACUGGUGCGGUCGCACCGGGCCCCGCGGUGAAAGGGCCAAGGGGGACCCCCCUCCCCGGAACGCGAUCAUGAACGGUCAUCCCUACUUCGCACCGGGCCUCGCGUCAGAAAGGGACGGCCCUGCCUAUAAGUCCUCCUAAAUGUCUGUACUGUUCCUCAAAUAAUUUGUAAUAUCUAUUGUCUAAUAAUAUAAUAAAUCUCAAAUCUCUUUUUGCCUGGUGUCAGCAGUAGUGUGAUGAUCCUUGGGAGUCUGAGGAUAGUUUAUGGGCACUUUCUGAACAGACCACAACACCUGCAACUGCAAUGAAGCAUCAAGAAAGACAUGAGCAGGCCAGCCACCCUGAGACUGAUAAUUCAUGAGAAGACAUUUCUGUCACUAACAAAGUGGAUGGUGAGCAAAGAUGGUGGCCACGUUUUGGAGCAGCACCUGGGUUUUGCAGAUGGCUAUGUAUUCUUUGGCUGUUUGUCUUUUUUCCUCAUUGUGUUUCUGUUGCCUAAAGAUUCUUUUGUGAGGAUAAAUCCAGAGGACACAACAUAAUGCACUGCAAAACGUCCUAAGACAGGAGAAAUGGUGAAGUUGCACUGUUCCAGCAUUGGGAGACUGUAUUUUUAAGUGUUGUACAUGCAAUGUUUUAAAUAAAGAAUUUGAUAUUUAGUAAUUGUGUCUGUUUUAACUGAA